rnacentral:rRNA from 1 species
AUUGAACGCUGGCGGAGUGCUUUACACAUGCAAGUCGAACGGCAGCACGGACUUCGGUCUGGUGGCGAGUGGCGAACGGGUGAGUAAUACAUCGGAACGUGCCCAGUCGUGGGGGAUAACGUAGCGAAAGCAACGCUAAUACCGCAUACGAUCUAAGGAUGAAAGCGGGGGAUCGCAAGACCUCGCGCGAUUGGAGCGGCCGAUGGCAGAUUAGGUAGUUGGUAGGGCAAAGGCCUACCAAGCCGACGAUCUGUAGCUGGUCUGAGAGGAUGAUCAGCCACACUGGGACUGAGACACGGCCCAGACUCCUACGGGAGGCAGCAGUGGGGAAUUUUGGACAAUGGGCGCAAGCCUGAUCCAGCCAUUCCGCGUGCAGGAUGAAGGCCUUCGGGUUGUAAACUGCUUUUGUACAGAACGAAAAGGCUCUGGUUAAUACCCGGGGCUCAUGACGGUACUGUAAGAAUAAGCACCGGCUAACUACGUGCCAGCAGCCGCUGUAA